AUGCUAUUUAUGUUCGUUUUAACUUCAUUCCAAUCUGUUUGCAUUACAUUGAACAUUUGCUUCGACAGACGUUGUUUUUUUUUCCUGCUGAAGGCGAGCAGAUUGUGCUUGGUAUCGCAAGUCCUCCACAAACAUUCCAUAGCUGUGACAGGACCUGCACCUUAUCGCAUUUUAAUCCUUCACACAUAUAAAAUACUUUCAUUAAAUCCCGUCUCCGUGCGACUUCCCAUAGUCCGCUCACAGCCGCAGCGCCGUACACAACGAGGGCAAGGCGCGGCAGGGCCGGGCCCACUGCGGCACGGGGGCCCUCCCGGGGCCGGCGCCGUGAGGCGGCUCCCGCCCAGCCACCGGCACGCAGCGGGCACUACGAGUACCGAGAUGCAGCGCGCGGAGGGGCGGGCUCCGUGGGCACUACAGAUCCCACAAUGCUCCGCGUCGCCCUGUGGCUCCGCUCGGGGAGGCUGGUUCCUAUUUAAAUCUGGGCAGCGAGGAAAAUGGCGGCGAGAGGUUGAGCGCGGGGGAGACGGGGACAGAGCUGCGCCUUGGCUCCUUUCCCAGGCAUUCCUACCAGCUUCUGUUGGAGAGAGAAGACUGCUAGUAUGUGACUUAAAAUGUUUCCAGAAUAAGAGCAAAAGCACUGACAGGACUUUGCAAACUAGGUUUUGCUGCUAG
rnacentral:lncRNA from 1 species